GCCCCGAUGGUGAAACGGACGAUCAUCCCUCGCUUCGAACGAGGAGUUCCAGGUUCAAAUCCUGGUCGGGGUA
rnacentral:tRNA from 1 species